UGGGCCAAGUUCAGGGCUGGUGCUCUCGUUCAGAUAAAUUUAGCUGGUGGUGCAGAGAUCUGUGAGCUUGCUUUUACAGGACUUUAAUGAUAUAUAAAAGCAGCAUGAAGGGCUCCUGACUGUGGAUUAAUUUGGAGAUGACUUUCUCUGUUGAAGAGUGGCAAGACUCUUGCAAGUUCUUAAAAAUGCACUUGUUUGGUAUGAGAAUGAAAAGCAGUGGCUGAAGAACCAGUCUUCAAUGGGCAAGGCUUCUCUGAUGCCUUGUUUGAGGUACAGUGCGAACCCAUUAGCACUGAACUCAGGACCAGCAACGCUGUAACUCAGGCCUGAAGGAAGCAUUUCUAGCACAUGAAUUUCCUCCGUAAGGCACCUCACAGCCUCUUGUGCCUGGGAACUCUAGCCAGCACUGCAACACGAUGCCUGGGGCCAUUAUAAAUGUGAAAUUACCAAAGAAACCCCACAAAAAUGUGAAAAUCAUGGCACUAAAUAGACCACAAAAAGAAUGCUUAUUUGCAGUAUGAGAACUGGAACCAGAAGUGUCUGUUCUAACAUGUCAUCUGGGAUCCCUUGGAAUCUUCAUGUACAGAACCGGUUGCUGCCUCAUUGAGUUGGUGGGGACAGAAUAGCUCCUGGUUGGCAGCAUGGGUUGUGCAGAAGGACAGACCCUGCAGACAUCAAUAUCUGGCUUUGAGUGGCACAAAGAAAUAAAGGAAUGUGGAUUCAGACCUCACUGGGAUGCUUGGCAAUUCUAAUUCUACGCCAGACUGCAAAUGGACACAAAACUGUUGCGACUUUUGUUGAAGAGGAGAAGGAUGGUGAAGGUCUCUUUAGUAAAUAAUCUCUGCUGAAAUUGCUUCGGGCAGCACAGAAGCUGGAUUCAGAAGCACACAGGUCUGGGGAUGCAGGCUUCGGCCACCCUGAUGCGAGGAAAGACUGCCAUCUCGUGGUCAGCUCGAUCCUGGCACCUUGGUGAGGGUCCAGGCUGCAGAAAACCGGGCUUGGGGAGGAAAUGGUGCUGCAAACUGGAUUUCUGCGGGACUAUGUGGAUGCCUUUAGAAAACACCCAGAAAAGAGCUGAGUGCCACCCAAGGUAGGCUUCAGUGAAUCCUCUGCAGGUGUGUUGUCAUCCCCUAAGCCAAACACACACUUCACACACACGCUGUAGGCUGCGUGAAAAUGAGGUAGAAAUGUGGGGAAAACAUAAUCCCGUGGAGAGAACAAACAGCUGAACAUGUAAAUGCCUCCGGCAUGCCUGGCAGAGAGAACACUCAGGCUGAGAAAAGGGGACAGUAACUUGUGCCAAAGAUAAGGGAGUAGCCUCUGGGGAAUCAAUCAGCAGGGCGUCUGGUCAACCCCUCAGACAAAGUCAGGUCUGAGCAGGCAAGAUCUAUGGAUCUGAUUUAUUAAUAUUUUCACAAUUAAAAAGAAUCUGAUUGUAAAACUGUUACAUGUGUUGUGAGAAAAAAAGAAAAAACAAACAAUAUAGAAAUGUACAAAGAAGAAAAUGAAAGAUUGGAAGCGUCCUCACCUUAGGGAACCAUUAUUAAUGCUUUAGGUGGCCAGUCUUCCAGACAUCUUGCUACAAAUAUAUCCAAAUGGAAAUUAAAAAUGCACUUUCACAUAAGUGCAAUCAGACCUUGUGCUCUUCUAUCCCAUAGCCUGCUUUUUCAUUCAACACUAUGACAGAAGCAUCUUUCCAGGUCAAUAAACAAAGGCUGGCCUCAUAGUUUUUUUUUUUAAUCAAUUGCAUAAAGCUAAUGGUAUGUAAUAUUGAUUUGAUACCUGCUACAUGCCAGGCGCAUGCAUGAUCUUGCAUAAUCUCAUAACAACUCUACCGAACAGGAGUUUGUAUUAUGCCCAUUAAGCAGAUGAAGAGGCUGUGGCACAAGAAAAUCGAUCAGCAUUGCCAGGGUAUCUGACCUCAGAGCCCAGGCUCUUGACCAGUAGGCUAGAAAUGAAGCAUAAUUUACUUACCAGUUUUCCGUUGAUGGACAUUAAGCUAUUUCCUACUUUUCUGGUAUAAAAAAUAAGAUUGCAGUGAAACUUUAUGGCAUAUACAUCUUUGCACCUUAGUGAGUUCUCUCUAAGUUAAUUUGAAAGUAGUAGGGUGUGGGGUUUGUGGGUCAAAGUGUAUGCUCAAUUUAUGCUUUACUGUGUGCCUGGCUUCCCUCCAGGCAGCAUGUGCCGGCUCACACUCCCACCAGCUGUACAGGAGAAUUUCCAGUGCCCCACGACCUUGCCAAUACUAGGCUUCCUCAUCAGUUUUUUUCUCUCCUUUAUUUUUCUUUAGAAAAAAAAAUAGCCUUUGAAAAAAUUGUAGGAACUAGUGCAAUGUGAGCUUGUAAGUGCUUCACCCAAUGUAGAUCCACCCGGUGUUAACAUUUUGCCACAUCUGUUAGUUUUUAUCAAACUGGAGUUAUCUAUAGACAUCGUAACACUUGAUGACUAAAUACUUCGGCAUGUGUCUCUUAAGAAAAAAAGCACACCCUUACGUAAGCAUAAUAUAAUCAGUACACUUGGGAAUUGCUAAAAUACAAUUUUCUAAUACAAAAUUCAUAUCAAGUCAUUGAAUAAAGACACUUCUUGACUUAAAAUGAGAUUACAUCCCAAUAAACCCAUCAUAAGUUGAAAAAAUGUAAGUAAAAAUGCAUUUAAUACACUGAAUCUGCUGAAUAUUGUAACAGCUUUGCCUACAUUAAAUGUGCUUAGAACACUUACAUUAACCUGCAGUUGGACAAAAUUAUCCAACAGAAAGCCUAUUUUAUAAUAAAGUGUUAGAUAUGUCAUGUAAUGUAUGAAAUACUGUACUGAAAGUGAAAAACAGAAUGGUAUGGAUUCUCACAGUACGGUUUCCACUGAAUGCCUAUCACUUUUGCACCAUUGUAAAACUGAAAAAUUGUAAGUUG